rnacentral:rRNA from 1 species
UUACGGGAGGCAGCAGUGGGGAAUAUUGGACAAUGGGGGCAACCCUGAUCCAGCAAUGCCGCGUGUGUGAAGAAGGCCUGCGGGUUGUAAAGCACUUUCGGUGGGGAAGAACGUACUUGCAGUUAAUACCUGCGAGUGGUGACGGUACCCAAAGAAGAAGCACCGGCUAACUCUGUGCCAGCAGCCGCGGUAAUACAGAGGGUGCGAGCGUUAAUCGGAAUUACUGGGCGUAAAGCGCACGUAGGUGGUUUGGUAAGUCGGAUGUGAAAUCCCCGGGCUUAACCUGGGAAUGGCAUUCGAUACUGUCAAACUAGAGUCUGGUAGAGGGUGGUGGAAUUCCAGGUGUAGCGGUGAAAUGCGUAGAUAUCUGGAGGAACAUCAGUGGCGAAGGCGGCCACCUGGACUGAGACUGACACUGAGGUGCGAAAGCGUGGGUAGCAAACAGGAUUAGAUACCCUGGU